rnacentral:sRNA from 1 species
ACAGCUGAUUCUUGGACUGCGACAUAAUUUAAGGCUCUAAGAAGGUGGCUGCACUUGGGUCUCUUACAAAGCAUCAUAUUUUCAAUGAGGAGACCAUUGAAGUGAUGUCAUGUGGCUGUUCAUCUGACCUGAGGAAAGAAUGAAAAGAAAGCCCCUGCCCCUCCAAUGGAGCCUGAAGUCCCCGAGAUGUCUCAAAGCAAAACUGAACAUAUGAAAACUCCAGAAGAGGAGCUGCAGCCAGAAAGCUCUCCUGCUGAAACUUCAGCCUGCAAAGAUCCUCUGAAACCUUUAAAGAUCAGGCCAGUCUCCCAGCCCUUCAUGAAUCCAGCUGUGAAGAACGAGGCUGAGGAAUGUGAGAGGUGGAUAGACAGGUUCAGGAAGCUGGAAAAUGCCCUCUACCUGUGUGAUCUGAGUAACACAGGAGUUCUGGAGAAGGAACGAGCCAGACGCCUCAUUCACAACUACAAUCUCAUUUACAACCUGUCCCUGAGCCCUCAGAAAAUCGACCAGGCCUUGCGCAGAUUCCGUUCGGGAGAAAAUAUGCUCUUGGAGCCAGCACUGCGGUACUUAAAGGAGCUAUGAUAACAAGCCCAUAUUGUGAGAACAGAUGUUUCCCUUAUCUCCCUUUUUACCCAGACACAUGUUUCUCCCCAGCCUGAGUGUCGUGGCGGAGGCAUUGUCAGAGUGGAGGCCGAUGCAGCUAUUGUAGAUGCUUUUGAUUUGGACUUAGUUUCUGGCUAUGAUGCUCGCUCAUAAGCAGCUCAAAGUGAUCAGAGGAAACCUAGUUUUAACUUUUGAUGUGGCAAGAACCCAGCUAUUUAGAAUCUCCUUCUGUUUUAAUAAAACGUAUUAUUAAUA